GACGAACGCUGGCGGCGUGCCUAAUACAUGCAAGUAGGACGCAGUUGCGAACGGGUGAGUAACGCGUAGGUAACUCCCUAUGAGAGGGGGAUAACUAUUGGAAACGAUAGCUAAUACCGCAUACUAGUGAAUGGACCUGCGUUGUAUUAGCUAGUCGGUAGGGUAAUGGCCUACCUAGGCAACGAUACAUAGCCAACCUGAGAGGGUGAUCGGCCACACUUGGACUGGGACCCGGCCCAGACUCCUCCGGGAGGCAGCAGUAGGGAAUCUUCGGCAAUGGGGGGAACCCUGACCGAGCAACGCCGCGUGAGUGAAGAAGUUUUUCGGAUCGUAAAGCUCUGUUGUUAAGGAAGCGGUACUUAACCAGAAAGGGACGGCUAACUACGUGCCAGCCGCCGCGGUAAUUC
rnacentral:rRNA from 1 species